GUUUGUGGAAACACCACGUAAAUUUAUUACUGCAAAGCUUUCGAUCGAAAGCUUUGCAAUAAUAAAUUUACGUGGUGUUUCCACAAACAAAACUAU